rnacentral:misc_RNA from 1 species
GAUGAAGAACGUAGCGAAAUGCGAUACUUGGUGUGAAUUGCAGAAUCCCGUGAACCAUCGAGUCUUUGAACGCAAGUUGCGCCCGAAGCCAUUAGGCCGAGGGCACGCCUGCCUGGGCGUCACACGUCGUUGCCCCCCCAUCUACUCCUUCGGGAUUGCGGGGGGCGGAUGAUGGCCUCCCGUGCGCCUCGUCGCGCGGUUGGCAUAAAUACCAAGUCCUCGGCGACGCACGCCACGACAAUCGGUGGUUGCGAAACCUCGGUUGCCCGUCGUGUGCGGUCGUCGCGCAUCGAGGGCUCGAAAAAAUUGCCGGGCUCCGGCUCGGCUUUCAACGCGACCCCAGGUCAGGCGGGGUUACCCGCUGAAUUUAAGCAUAUCAAUUAAGCGGAGGA